rnacentral:rRNA from 1 species
GGUAACCUGCGGAAGGAUCAUUAACGAAUAGUUCUUCGGAACAUUUCAUCCUUACACACCUGUGAAUUUUUAAAUGAUACUUUGCUUUGGUCAGACUUUAAUUAGUCUGGCCAGAGGUAUACAAACUCCAAAUUUAUUUUAAACAUGAGUCUGAAUUGAAAAAGAAUAAAUUAUUCAAAACUUUCAACAACGGAUCUCUUGGUUCUCGCAUCGAUGAAGAACGCAGCGAAAUGCGAUAAGUAAUGUGAAUUGCAGAAUUUCGUGAAUCAUCGAAUCUUUGAACGCACAUUGCGCCCCUUGGUAUUCCAGGGGGCAUACGUGUAUGAGCGUCAUUUCACUCUUAAACCCUCGGGUUUAGUGUUGAACCUUUCCUUCGAUCUUUUUUCGAAGGAUGGCUCGAAAUGAAAUGGCAAGGCAAUCCAGUCUAAAGCUUACACAGUGUCUUAGGUUUUACCAAUUACGCUGGGCAAAGCUUGCUUGGAUGAGCCGGGCGGUACAAACUUGAUUUAAAAGUUUGACCUCA